UUUUUUUUUUUUGCAUUAGUACUAGUAAUGAUUAGUGCCGGCAGCCCUAACUAACUGGCCUAACUGCUGCCGUCCCCCAUAAAUGGGUCUUGUACUAGACUGUCGUCUAGGCGUCUAGCACUAGCACCGUCCGAACAAGUCGUCUAACAUUACUAGACCAAUAAAAUAUUCAUUUUUUUUUAACAUUAGUACUAGUAAUGAUUAGUGCCAGGCAGCCUAACUACCCUACCUAACUGUCUGCCAGCCCCAUAAAUGGGUUUUGUACCAGACUCUUUUCUAGU